CACACAUAAAUAUACUUGGAUAUAUAUAUAUGCUUGUGUAUGUGUGUAGGUCGGUAUAUUUAUUACAAUAAUAUCAUUAUUCCAUAGCUGUUAUCUAGGGGUUCUCAAAUUCCGCGUACAGGACGUAUGGUUCAGGCAGGCACACAUUCAGCGUUGCCAACCUCUUUUGCUUGUCGUACUAUUCUAGCUUACAGCUUACUACAAAUUGGAACUUCGGACUUAAGGAGUCAGUUCUAUAGAUCUAUAGAAGUAUCGAGUAUACUAAGUAUGGUGCUCAAGUAUCUAACGAAAAAUAUGUUCGAGCAUAGCGCAUACAUUCAGACCAUUCAAUGCUUCUACUCUGAUUCGGUCGGACUCACAGAUAAUGAAAGAAAAUACCAUGAGAGAAAUGGGAAAUGGG